rnacentral:lncRNA from 13 species
GGGUAUAUAACAAAGUAUUGAGAUAAACUUUUGUUGUUGACCAACUACUUAUUUUCCACCAUAAUUUCCAAAUAAAUUCAUUAAAAAUCCUACAAUGUGAUUUUCUGGAUUUUUCUUUCUCAUUUUGUCUGUCAUAGUUGAAGUGUACCUAUGAUGAAUAUUACAGGCCUCUCAUCUUUUUAAGUGGGAGAACUUGCACAAUUGGUGGCUGACUAAAUACUUUUUUGCCCCACUGUAUAUGUAUGUGCCAGGCGCAUCCCCAUUAGCUACUCUUCCUGGGGUUUAUUAGGGAUCCCCAUUAGCUAUAAAACAGUGAACUGUUUGUACUGAAUGAGCUAAAGAUAAAAUGGUACAUCAUAUAACAUCCCUACACCCCCACAUAUACACAACAUGUUCAAUACCCCCACAUAUCCACAACAUGUUCAAUACCUCCACAUAUCCACAACAUGUUCAAUACCCCCACAUAUCCACAACAUGUUCAAUACCUCCACAUAUCCACAACAUGUUCAAUACCACCACAUAUCCACAACAUGUUCAAUACCUCCACAUAUCCACAACAUGUUCAAUACCCCCACAUCUCCACAUGUUCAAUACCACAACAUGUUCAAUACCACAACAUGUUCAAUACCACCACAUAUCCACAACACUAAAUAAUCGUGUUCCCCUAAGUUUGAUACUGUAUUGAAAACCUCUGUGACUGUCCCCUCUCCUUUGUAGUGCCUAUCACUGUGCUCUGUGACUGUCCCCUCUCCUUUGUAGUGCCUCUCUCACUGUGCUCUGUGACUGUCCCCUCUCCUUUGUAGUGCCUCUCUCACUGUGCUCUGUGACUGUCCCCUCUCCUUUGUCGUGCCUCUCUCAUUGUGCUCUGUGACUGUCCCCUCUCCUUUGUAGUGCCUCUCUCAUUGUGCUCUGUGACUGUCC